AGAAGCCUCUGCAAACAAACCACAAAAAAAAUAUAUUUAUUUGUUAAAGAACGGAAGGAAAGACAGAAAACGCAACCUUUGAAUACGGACGGCUGUAAUUUCUACUUUUUUUUUUUUGAAAAAAAAAAACCCGACAACAACAGAAACUUAUUUUUUCCUUCCCCUCCCCCCCCUCCUUUCAACCCACCGGGUUGUUGUUGUUUUUUUAAUUUAUUUUUUGUUGUUGUUGUUUUUUUUAAAUCUCCAAACUGGAACGCCAUCCAAGUAGAACUGCUCAGUAUAUUGUUUAUGUCGUGCCAAGCCGGGACAGAUUGAAGACGGAAAGAACGACUUGAAACGGCGUUUCGGUUCGCGGGGAGUAAAGUCGUCGCUUCUAUUGCGGUCGCCAAGGAGAGAGAGAGAAAGGAAAGAGCGCGGGAGGGGGGACCACAGAGAAAGAAACGCCAGCCACCAACUUAUCUCCCCCUUUCCCCCCCUUUUCUCUGACAUUUCCCACCGUUUGUUUUUUUAGCCCCGUUUGGUUAGAAGCUGGUUUUGCCCCCAAAUUGUUUUAAUGUUUGGGAUUCAGGAAAAUAUACCACGAGGUGGGACGACCAUGAAAGAAGAACCGCUGGGCAGUGGAAUGAACCCAGUCCGAUCAUGGAUGCAUACUGCUGGGGUAGUGGAUGCUAACACAGCCGCGCAAAGCGGUGUUGGGUUGGCUCGGGCACAUUUCGAGAAACAGCCGCCUUCCAAUCUCAGAAAAUCCAAUUUUUUCCACUUCGUCUUAGCUCUGUACGACAGGCAGGGACAGCCAGUGGAGAUUGAAAGGACAGCUUUUGUGGACUUUGUGGAAAAAGAUAAAGAGCCAAACAAUGAAAAAACUAACAAUGGGAUUCAUUAUAAACUCCAGUUAUUGUAUAGUAAUGGGGUUAGAACGGAACAGGAUUUGUACGUUCGGCUAAUAGAUUCUAUGACAAAACAGGCGAUUGUCUAUGAAGGACAAGACAAAAACCCUGAAAUGUGUCGAGUGCUCCUGACCCACGAAAUCAUGUGCAGCCGGUGCUGUGACAAGAAAAGUUGUGGCAACAGAAAUGAAACACCUUCAGAUCCUGUUAUCAUUGACAGAUUUUUUCUAAAGUUUUUCCUCAAGUGCAAUCAAAACUGUUUGAAGAAUGCAGGAAACCCACGAGAUAUGCGAAGAUUCCAGGUUGUUGUAUCAACAACAGUCAAUGUGGAUGGCCAUGUUCUGGCUGUCUCAGACAACAUGUUUGUACACAACAACUCCAAACAUGGAAGGCGGGCUCGCCGCCUUGACCCCUCAGAAGGUACGGCCCCUUCUUAUCUGGAAAAUGCUACCCCUUGUAUAAAGGCAAUUAGCCCCAGUGAAGGUUGGACAACUGGUGGAGCAACAGUCAUCAUAAUCGGCGACAACUUCUUUGAUGGCUUGCAAGUUGUUUUCGGAACUAUGUUAGUGUGGAGUGAGCUGAUAACACCUCAUGCCAUCAGAGUUCAAACUCCACCACGGCACAUUCCUGGAGUUGUUGAAGUAACCCUCUCCUACAAGUCCAAACAGUUCUGUAAAGGUGCUCCUGGACGGUUUGUCUAUACCGCCCUUAAUGAACCAACAAUAGAUUAUGGAUUCCAGAGAUUGCAGAAAGUCAUUCCACGGCAUCCAGGUGAUCCAGAACGGUUACCAAAGGAAGUAUUACUUAAAAGAGCAGCUGACCUUGUUGAAGCUCUGUAUGGCAUGCCCCACAACAAUCAGGAAAUAAUCCUGAAACGAGCAGCUGAUAUUGCAGAAGCAUUAUAUAGUGUGCCACGUAACCACAAUCAGAUUCCUACACUUGCCAACACUCCAGCUCAUACUGGUAUGAUGGGAGUAAAUUCAUUUAGCAGCCAGCUAGCAGUUAAUGUUUCAGAAACAUCACAGGCUAACGACCAAGUAGGUUACAGUCGCAACACAAGCAGUGUUUCCCCGCGAGGAUACGUCCCGAGCAGUACUCCUCAACAGUCCAAUUAUAACACAGUCAGCAAUAGUAUGAAUGGAUACGGCAAUGCCAGCAUGCCCAACCUUGGUGUACCUGGUUCCCCUGGAUUCCUUAAUGGCUCGACCGCGAACUCCCCUUACGGCAUAGUGCCGUCAAGCCCUACCAUGGCAGCCUCUUCGGUCACCCUUCCUUCAAACUGUAGCAGUACACACGGCAUUUUCUCAUUCUCACCUGCCAAUGUCAUCUCUGCAGUGAAACAAAAGAGCGCCUUUGCUCCUGUGGUCAGGCCCCAAGCUUCUCCUCCGCCAUCUUGCACCAGCGCAAAUGGAAAUGGGCUUCAAGGAGUCUCUGGAAAUUUACCAGUGCCUCAGCCCUUUCUUCCUCCCUCCUGGCUGUAAUUUUAAAUCCCCAAACCAGUUUAGGAAUCCUUUGUAGCCCGCAUCUUCCUCUUCCAGCAUCUACUACUGAUCUCAGGAAAUGGGAGAGCUAUGUCUGGGCUUGUAGUUCCGCCAAUGUAAAUUCAUUUUUUUGUUUAGCUACUGUAGCACCAAGUUCAGAAGAUGAGCUUUCUAGGGGACAAGUUUAGUAUAUAAGAUAUGCUGAUGGAACCAGUAUCUUCAAAAUACAAUCAGCAAAACAUUGAAAUGCUACAAAAAAAACAAAAAACAAACUUUGUUUAAAAAAGUUUAUUUAAAAUACUAAGAAUCAACAUGCAAACAAUCAACUUCUUCAUGAACAAUUCCAUUUUAUUGACUGAACUUCUCUCAUAUUUUCACAUUUCUUGGUCCUGAAGAAAAAGGAAAAAGCGACACCUAUUUUGUAUAAAGUUUCUGAUUACGUCUUGGCUAUGUCUAGUACUUGCUAUGUGUCGGGAAAAACUUUGUGGAUGCACCAUUUUGAUUAUCAUGAAACACUGAUGAAAAAUGCCUCCAAAACAUUUUUCUGUACUCAUAACUAGAUUCACAAUGGUUGUGUAUCUCUAUAAUGUGAAAUAUUUUUUUGUGGUGAAAAAAAGGGGGCCAAGGAGGAGGUAUGAGCCAUCAAAACUGGGGUUGGGGGGGGAAAAGGAUGAAUAUAUGAUUUCAAAUAAUUUUGGGAGACGGGAGGAUGGGAGGGUUGAUCAUUGCUUAACUUCAUCUUAAUGAAAUGGAACUUUGUAACUUAUUGUAGUUAGAAAUUGUAACUUUGAUAUUGAAUUCUCUUGCCUUCAACAAGCACACUGACAGAGGAAAAUGCUACUGUCUGUUGGUAAAAAAAAUAUACUUCCACUGCUAGAGCUUCCUGUUAAGCAAGUGUGAUCUGCAACAUUUUUUCAACUUUUGCUAGCACUGUAUACUAUUGCAUUCUUAGGCUACUGUGAAGUCUAUGUUUCUUGUACCAGAAAAUUGUCCUUUUGACUUCUAGAUCCUACUUCCCUAAUGUGUUUUGUAUGUGGUUAUAAAAUUGUAGACUUUUGUGAUUUUGCCAAAGUUGUAGCUAAAUAUUUAUACACUUGUCUUGAAUUUUUUUCAGAUCCACUUAAAUAUUUAGAAGAUCAAAUUUUAUUCCUUUUAAAGAUAAGGAAUAAAAUAGCCCUACAUUACAACUUCCUUUCACAUGAACACUUGCAAUCACCAAGGGAAUUUAUUUUGUAACAUAUUGAUUAUAAAUAUUGUAUUUAUCUUUGAAAUUUUGUAUAUUUUCACCAUUUUUCUUGUAUGUAUGUUUUUUGUCAUUUGACUGGUAUUGUGAUGCUGUGAAAAGCAUUAAGCCAAGAACCGCUGCCUUCAUAUGUUUAUGUUUAAAAAAAAAUGUGUUCAUUCAUUUCAUUUUGUAUUUCACAAAGUUGUUAUUUGUUUCGACUUUCCAUCCUUCUGUUAUUUUGAGGAAAAACAUUGUUUAUUUUUAUAUUAUUUUUAAGUUAUCUGAACAAAUAAUUUUGAAAUAAAGUUGUUUGUUGUAUAGUUAAAACAAAAUUGUGCCACAUGGCUGUAAUGAAUACUAGUAGAAAACGUGCAUGUAAUGCGGCCACAGGAAACGAAAGGUUCUCCUAUGUUGUGUUUAGAUUUUUCUUUUUUUCUUUCUCCAUUUUCUCUGAUUUCUGAUUUCUUUUUAAAAGUUGCCACCCAUGACUUUGCCACAUAGCUGAACUGUUUACUUUGGGGGGGGGCAGGGGAGAGACGAGAAUCAGAAGCCUAAAUUAAAAUAAUAAUAAAUAAAUGAAAUUCACUUCUGAUGUUUUAAUUACAGUGUUGGCCACAUGAACUUCCUUGGAUGCCUUAAAAUUAGACGUCUUUGAACAACUUUUGUGCUGUUAACCAUGGGCUUAGAACAAGUACAUCACUACUUCACUUGGAUAAUUUAUGGUGUAGAAAAGCACAAAUGUGGGGGUGCAGUUUUUUUCCCUGUGACUCUAGUUACCUGCCCUCUGUUCACUUUAAGGAGGCUUGUCCCAACCCCCUAAAAAAAGGCUAAUUGUAAUAUCACAGCUGACCUUGGUAAACUCUACUCUUGGUCAAUGGCCAUGUGACCUCUUUUUGUAUCUGUUUUCUGCUGCACUUUGCAUUAUCUGUAACUUAGCACUGUUUAACAAAGAGAAAGACUUUUUAUGCAUUUGGGAUCAGACCUGAUUUUAUAACCUUUUUUUAUUUUCAGAUUUUUGUUUUGUAGAGACACUUACAGUAAGGACUGUAAUUUAUAAACUGGAACGAUUCCUUUAAUAUAUUGUGCCUGUUUUAGUGCCAAUCCUGACAUAAUUAUUCCCCCCCUCCCCACUGUUCUUUCUUGCACUAAAUGCUUUCCAAUGCAGCACUGCAAAAUCACUUUUGCACUCUGCAGCAGAAUUAAAUUUCUCAGCAAAAAGGAGGGACCAUUUUUUUAAAUACAAAAGUGCACAUUUUCAGGAAAUGUUUAUAAGAGGUUUUAAAAUUGAUACAAAUAUAUCACAAAUUACAAAACAUGCCAGACUUUUUUUCCUGUGAGAGUCGUUAAGGCUUAGCUAAGUGGAAAAGCCGAAAAGUCAAACCGAAAGUGAAUUGCCUCAGUUUAACUUUAUAUAAGUAUGAUUUUGAUCUUAAAAAGGAAAGGUCAGGCAUACAUGAUCAGAACAUUUCUUCAUAAAUACAACCUGUUUUGUGUUUUAGAUUAAUUAGUCAAUUCACUCAUAUUUCCUCAUCUCCAAAUGGGAAACUUCACUAAAUGAUAGAUUUUACUGUUAAAGACCCUACAAUAAGAUUGUUUUAUCUGUACAUUUUUCAGAUAUUUAACUGUAUAAAAAUGUUCAUUUUACACAAUAUUUAAUUAAAGUAUUUCUUGUCUGUGAA